rnacentral:rRNA from 1 species
CCUACGGGAGGCAGCAGUUGGGAAUAUUGGGCAAUGGGCGCAAGCCUGACCCAGCAACGCCGCGUGAAGGAAGAAGGCCCUCGGGUUGUAAACUUCUUUUAACAGGGACGAAGAAAGUGACGGUACCUGUUGAAUAAGCCACGGCUAACUACGUGCCAGCAGCCGCGGUAAUACGUAGGUGGCAAGCGUUAUCCGGAUUUACUGGGUGUAAAGGGCGUGUAGGCGGGAGGGCAAGUCAGACGUGAAAUUCCAGGGCUCAACCCUGGCACUGCGUUUGAAACUGUUCUUCUUGAGUGAUGGGAAGGCAGGCGGAAUUCGGCGUGUAGCGGUGAAAUGCGUAGAUAUACGGAGGAACACCGGUGGCGAAGGCAGCCUGCUGGACAGGAACUGACGCUGAGGCGCGAAAGCGUGGGGAGCAAACAGGAUUAGAUACCCGUGUAGUC